AAACAGGUUAAUAUUCCUGUACUCGGUGUUACUGCGAAGGGGGGACGGAGAAGGCUAUGUUGGCCGGGCGACGGUUGUCCCGGUUUAAGCAUGUAGGCGGAUGUUCCAGGUAAAUCCGGAACGUUAUCAACGCUGAGGUGUGAUGACGAGGCACUACGGUGCUGAAGUGACAAAUGCCCUGCUUCCAGGAAAAGCCUCUAAGCAUCAGGUAACAUCAAAUCGUACCCCAAACCGACACAGGUGGUCAGGUAGAGA
rnacentral:rRNA from 1 species